rnacentral:rRNA from 1 species
AAGUAGCGCGGUGGUCCCACCUGACCCCAUGCCGAACUCAGAAGUGAAACGCCGUAGCGCCGAUGGUAGUGUGGGGUCUCCCCAUGCGAGAGUAGGGAACUGCCAGGC